rnacentral:lncRNA from 1 species
CUUCCCGCGUGGGCCCCGGUUCCUGAGGCGCUGGCUCCCGGGUGCCCCCCUCCGGGAGCUGGCGGUGGGAACCUUCGAUGGGCCCCCAACCUCGAAGUCUCCGCCACCUUUCCCGAGUGGGGGGCGCAGGAUGCCCGACCCAAAGCCAACCCCCCACCGCCGCUCGAAUCGCCAAUGUGACCUCUGCUGUGACCUCUGUCCCAGUUCAACGAUCACCCAACCUCCCUUAACAAAAAAAAAGUGUUUCCUCAUCACCAAAAAUACCAGCGUUGUCCCACUUUAGCCCUUGAGGCCACAAAUGCAGGAAUAGCUACACUCUUGAAGCAACUGUAACCAAGUUGGUAACAACGCAGGGGAAUUCUUCGGUAAAAUUCCUUCCUCUUACAAAAUCCAGCUCACCCUGCACAGUCAACCUAAUUGUCACCGAAUAUAGGAGAAUGGGGAAACUAGGAUUUGCGUGUUCAAGGGCGGACAAGCCAGUCCAAACAGGCAUUCCAGUCAUUGGGUGGGUGACAGCCAAAGAAGGUACGUCAUUUUCCUUCCUACCACCCCCAUCUCUGAACAAUUCUACAGGGAUGUCUGUCAGAGUGCCUACAUACUAUUUCUGUUGCUUGUAUAACCCUGAUGAAGCAGUGGUGCGCAUUGUCCAAUGAACCACGUCGUGUUUAAACAACAGUCGGUUAAGCAAAAUAAAUAAGUAAAUAAUAAAAAUUCCAUCCUUCCUAGUGACUCUCCGAGGACAUUGAGGGUCAUCAAGUUAAUAACUCCAGCAAUUUCAUAUCUCUUUUUCUUCCCUUGCCUAUUACCUGCAUCCUUCAUAGCUCCCAGGCUUCCUCCUCCUCUCUCCCCUUCCCUUUAUUAAAUAGAUUAACUUAGCUGCUUUAGGUGAGGGUUGCAGGUAGGAAAUCAGACUGUCAACAAAAUAGUCUUUGGCAGGCUGGGUGGAAAGGAGGGAAGAUUGUGAAUAUUCCAAUGUUAAAAUGUAUUCCUUUGGACUAGUCCUGAUCCAUCCAUAUCUAUGUCUCUCUCAAUGGUAGAACUGUAUUGUGAGGUCACUGCAUGCACAGUAUUAAAAACUGACACCCAGGGCACUGUAAAUGUGUGGAAGGAUAACUCGUGUUUACUCGCUGACCAAAGAACACCUCCUGGUGCUCCAAUUCCCUAUCCAACCAUGAGUAAUGGCUGGGACUUAAGAUGGGACAGAGGGGUCAUCCCACAAUGGUCUUGGAUCUAUUCCCUGGUAGCUGUUCCAAACUGCCAACACAAUUAA